AAAUCUGGUUUGGUGUGACUGGAUGUGUAUGUUUAACAACUUCCCAACCUUGCAGCUUCCUAGCUAGGCUUUUUUCUUUUUUUUUAAAUCCUGAAACAAAGGAACUGCAAAGGCGGAAAGUUCUUUGCGCUGCUGUGUAAGGAAACUAAUCAGACAAGCUACAGCAGGCUGUGGUGACUUAAUGAAAGGGUGCCAUCUUUGUGUGCUCCUACCUAGGAAGAGCUGAGCCCCGGGGUUGUGAAGAGAGAUAGCAUUUCUGACCAAAAACCACAAGCACAUCAAGUCAGAGAAACCAAGGAACAAUGGAAUGAUGUUGCUACGACAGGACAAAAGGCCCAGUGUUACAUUUUCCCAGCAGCCUGUGGAUUGAAGAUAUCACCAACUGAUCCUUUCAAGGGUUACUAUGGGAAAGUUUGGCGAGCCUCUGACAUCCAUGGAACUGGUUUAUCUGUGCAGCAAGUGGUACCAGUGCCUUGCCCUUUGAUACUCACUGUUACCACGUAUCUUCUUACCAUAUUACCCUACAGUCCCUUCAGCCAAUAAGUGGGAGAGACUUGAGUGCUGCCCUGGACUGGGAGUAAUUUUCUGAAGACUUUACAGUUCCUUUGGAAUGGAAAGGCCUCUGACUUCAUGCACCAGAAGAACUUGAUUCACCUGCUUUUCAGCGAUUGCUUUACUCCUUAGGAUGGAGAAGCUGAGAUAAAGGCUUACAAGUAAGUAAUAUAUUGGAAACAGAAGUGAGGGGUAAACACAAUGAAAAAGGGUGGGAUGGCAAGCCUUAAAGGGGCACAUUAAAGAGCAAGUGUGACAGGCAACAAUUGUUUUGCCCUGCUGGAUGUUCUUUGGAGCUUCAUUACAUAUACCUGAAAACUGCCUCCCUAGGGGAUAAUGAACAGACUAUUCAUCAGUUGAGCCCUUUCCUGUCAUAUUUUCCAGAGUGCACAUGCAAGCGCGAGUUGUUCUUUCCGAGAGCCUCCUCCAUCAAUAGCAUAAGAGAAGGAAGGAAUAGGGUGGGCAUAUUUCUUGGGCAAAUACCAUCUCAUUGUGCCUAUUUAGAGAUAGUCAAAAACUGACGAAGAAUUUGUUUGCUGGAUUUUCCCUCGCCAUCUUUCUCCUCCUCUCUCCAUGUGCCUGUGUAUGUAUCGAUCUUUCAGGUAUGUAUGCCACUACAGAUGGUUAUG
rnacentral:sRNA from 1 species